AGGACGAAACAGGGGUGUCUCGGUGCUCAGACGGGUAUCGCGGCUGAGAAAUACCCUGGGGCCAUCAGCGCAGUUUUGCACCCGGCCCCGCGACCCGAUCCAGAUCAUGCUGGCGUGGGGAGUUUCAGCGGCACACCG
rnacentral:ncRNA from 1 species